rnacentral:rRNA from 1 species
CCUACGGGAGGCAGCAGUGGGGAAUUUUGGACAAUGGGCGCAAGCCUGAUCCAGCCAUGCCGCGUGUGGGAAGAAGGCCUUCGGGUUGUAAACCACUUUUGUCAGGGAAGAAACGGCUUUUUCUAAUACAGAGAGCUAAUGACGGUACCUGAAGAAUAAGCACCGGCUAACUACGUGCCAGCAGCCGCGGUAAUACGUAGGGUGCAAGCGUUAAUCGGAAUUACUGGGCGUAAAGCGUGCGCAGGCGGCUUUGCAAGACAGAUGUGAAAUCCCCGGGCUCAACCUGGGAACUGCAUUUGUGACUGCAUGGCUAGAGUACGGUAGAGGGGGAUGGAAUUCCGCGUGUAGCAGUGAAAUGCGUAGAUAUGCGGAGGAACACCGAUGGCGAAGGCAAUCCCCUGGACCUGUACUGACGCUCAUGCACGAAGACGUGGGAGGACAACAGAGUAGUAUACCUACGUAGUACGACGACCGUAACCGACUAGUCACUGGUUGUUGGUACGGUCGUUGUCGU